GGUGAACGCUGGCGGCGUGCCUAAUACAUGCAAGUCGAGCGAACAGACGAGGAGCUUGCUCCUCUGACGUUAGCGGCGGACGGGUGAGUAACACGUGGAUAACCUACCUAUAAGACUGGGAUAACUUCGGGAAACCGGAGCUAAUACCGGAUAAUAUAUUGAACCGCAUGGUUCAAUAGUGAAAGACGGUUUUGCUGUCACUUAUAGAUGGAUCCGCGCCGCAUUAGCUAGUUGGUAAGGUAACGGCUUACCAAGGCAACGAUGCGUAGCCGACCUGAGAGGGUGAUCGGCCACACUGGAACUGAGACACGGUCCAGACCCCUACGGGAGGCAGCAGUAGGGAAUCUUCCGCAAAGGGCGAAAGCUUGACGGAGCAACGCCGCGUGAGUGAUGAAGGUCUUCGGAUCGUAAAACUCUGUUAUUAGGGAAGAACAAAUGUGUAAGUAACUAUGCACGUCUUGACGGUACCUAAUCAGAAAGCCACGGCUAACUACGUG
rnacentral:rRNA from 1 species